UACAGAGGGUGCAAGCGUUGUUCGGAAUUAUUGGGCGUAAAGGGCGCGUAGGCGGCCUGUUAAGUCGAACGUGAAAUCCCCGGGCUCAACCCGGGAACUGCGUCCGAUACUGGCAGGCUUGAAUUCGGGAGAGGGAUGUGGAAUUCCAGGUGUAGCGGUGAAAUGCGUAGAUAUCUGGAGGAACACCGGUGGCGAAGGCGGGUCUCUGGGCCGAUACUGACGCUGAGGAGCGAAAGCGUGGGGAGCGAACAGG
rnacentral:rRNA from 1 species